ACCCCGAGCUGUCAAUCAAGCAGGCGCGUUGAACGGAUUAUGACGCUCAAGCGUUCCAAAUGACGCAACAAUACAGCUCCAGACCAGAGAAAGUUCAUGCGGAAGAUAUUCUUCAGUUCAACACUAAAACUGCGCGUUGACACGUGUGAUUUGAGGCUAGAGCUUGAGGACUCAACUCUGAAGACUGUUUCUGAAUUCACUGACCUGAAAUAAAACUUGUAGACCUUUCCUGCAGUCACUGAGGAGAUGGACACCUCUUCUUCUUCUGGACGAUCUCCGUCUCCUACUGGGACUGUCUUCUUACCCCCUCCUAUCAUAUGGAACAGUCUCUACAAGCAGGCAGAGAUGGAGGUUCACUUCCCGAGAGAAGAGAAGAAGACCUGUACAGAGAAGGAAGCCCACAUGCUUGAGUUGAUGGGGAAGGAUCGAACGAUCCGAAAUCAGAAGAAGGAGAUGGACAGACUUCAAGUGUGCCUCUGGGAGGAGGAAAAGAAGAAGAGGAAUGGUGGAUCGGAGAUGGACAAGAUCAUUGAACAAUUACAGUCUGAGUCAGACAAUCUCCGAGCCCUUUUAAAAGAUGAAAGGAGGAGAAGAAGAGUAGAAAGGGGUAUAUUGAAAGAGUGGAAGGCUGAGAUCCUGAGACUGAGGGAGGCAGAGAGCCAGAGGGAGGCAGAGAGCCAGAGGGAGGCAGAGAGCCAGAGAGAGGCAGAGAGAGAGAGAUGCAGAGAGAGAGAGAUGCAGAGAGAGAGAGAAAGGCAGAGAGACAGAGAGAAGCAGAGAGACACAGAGAAGCAGAGCGAGAGAGGGAAGCAGAGAGACAGAGGGAGGCAGAGAGACAGAGAGAAGUAGAGAGACAGAGGGAGGCAGAGAGACAGAGGGAAGCAGAGAGACAGAGGGAGGCAGAGAGAGCCACAGAAGCAAUAGAGCACCAGAGAAAAAUGCAGGAGAUCCACAGACUCAAACAACUGCUGGAUCUACUGAUGGUGGACCUACAACUGGCCCACGUAAGACAUGUCAUUGUUAUUAUUAAAAGGCAGUGUAUAUUUACCAGCUGAAAAUGAAUAGUGGCAGACAGCGGUACGCUAACCCAAUGUUAACUUUUAUUCCUUUCCUUAACCCUUACCUUAACCUCACUGAAA